GUUUUAAUAGUUUAAAUAAAACACUGGUCUUGUAAAUCAGAAAUGAAAUUAUAAUUUUUCUUAAAACA
rnacentral:tRNA from 1 species